rnacentral:rRNA from 1 species
CAGCAGCCGCGGGAACACCGGCAGCUCUAGUGGUAGCUGUUUUAUUGGGCCUAAAGCGUUCGUAGCCGGUUGAUAAGUCACUGGUGAAAUCCUGUAGCUUAACUGUGGGAAUUGCUGGUGAUACUGUUGAACUUGAGGUCGGGAGAGGUUAGCGGCACUCCAGGGUAGAGGUGAAAUUCUGUAAUCCUGGGAGGACCACCUGUGGCGAAGGCGGCUAACUGGAACGAACCUGACGGUGAGGGACGAAAGCGUAGGGGCGCGAACCGGAUUAGAGUACCCGGGUAGUCCUAGCCGUAAACGAUGCGGACUUGGUGUUGGAUGGCUUUGAGCCGCUCCGGUGCCGAAGGGAAGCUGUUAAGUCCGCCGCCGUGGGAAGUACGGUCGCAAGACUAGAAACUUAAAGGAAUUGGCGGGGAGCACCACAACGCGUGGAGCCUGCGGGUUUUAAAUUGGAUUCAACGCCGGACAUCUCACCAGGAGCGACAGCUGUAUGAUUACCAGGCUGAUGACCUUGUUUGACUAGCUGAGUAGUGGUGCAUGG